AAUUUUCUUUCUUGAACUUAACCUAAACCAUACAUAAUCGCAUCCACAACAUGGCUUUCUCAACAAAAUAAUUAUUUAAUCUUCAGGUUUUUUAUUUUGUUUAAAGGAAUAGAUCGACGACGAUGGCUUCCAAAAGCGGUAGCCAAUCACCUCUGGAAGCAGAGGGCGAAGGCGGUGCUGAAGCUGUUGCUGCCGAUGAUGAGGCGGAAAUGCAGGCUUAUACAUUUGCAGCAAUUGCGACAAUUGUGGUCUCCAAUUUGACGAUCCAGAAGAAAAUAGACAAUACCGAUUAUACAAUCGCCAAUUCCAUGAAUCCGCUGAGGCUUGUAUACCAAUGUUGGAGUUAAACCGCGUCCUGCUCCGGCUGAUUUCCUUCUUUAUUGGGAGCUACUGUAGUCAAUGCAGACCUUAGUAAACCAGAGACUAUACCAGCAACAUUGAUUGGGAUUCAUACUAUCAUUGACUGUGCCUCUCGCCGUCCUCUUAUUAAAAUGCAAGUUAGGAGCACUUUUACGCGGGAUAUUAUUGAUUUUCUUCUGGUUUGCAGUCGUCCUUCCAAAUGUGGACAAAUCAAAUAUAGGAAACACUUAACUGUAAGAAAUGCGGAGAUGCUGUAUUUUGAACUAAACAUUUUGCUACAGCCAUUGAUAAUUACACACAACCGAGAAUAGAAGAGCGGAGGUCAAGCUGGAGAAGCUAUUCAGGGAAGAUAACAAUACUAAUGCCCAGAUGAUACAUGAAAAACAAGAUCAGAUUGCAGGUCUUUAUGUUUCGAUGCAAAGAAGGAUUCUCCGAUGAAGAGAAAGAACGGAUUGCAGGUCUUCCGGGACAUUGCUCCAACUCCAGAUGACAGUCCAUGAACUUCAAUUUGAAAGAGCCGCAAAAGUGUGUAUAUAUUUUAAUCUUGAAGAUUGUUGCUGCUCCAAUCAAAUAAUGCAUGAACAACUUUCUUACUAUGAAAAAUUACAGUUUGCAGGCUUUCAGGGAGCUUGAAUCUUUAAGAAGUUUAUGUAGAGAUUGUGUAUAAAAAGUUAAUGCAUAUUAGCCUCUGAUUUUUUGUUUGAUCUUUUUAUUACCAUAUGUUUGAUUCAUAUGCUUGUAUAUUAGUCCUUUUUCCCGUGGUUAAAUAACUUCAAGUUAACCACAGUUUCAUUUUGUUUGGCUACUACUGCAAUUUGCUUACCUGUGUGUUGCCUGCCAUACCAUGGCAAGACUUUUGUCAUAGUACUCUUAUCGUUUUUCAGAAGCUUUUGUAUUAUACAAUUGGUCCCAUCUCCUUAUUAUCGUAGUUAAUAAGUUUUUCAUU